GAAGUCUGUGGAUGUUGCAGCCCUCAUUGCAGGUGAAUUGAGAAAGAUAGUGCUAAGCGGAACCAAUUUCGGGGGCAAAGCUGGUGUGCUAGCCUAUCCAGGACUUAUCAUGGGACUGUGCCGUAAGGCAAAUGUUCCCAUCCCUGAGGAAGUACACUUCUCGAUCACCAGUGUGAUCAGUGACUCUUAUUUGAACAGGUUUCUGCAAACCCAAAAUGAUAAAACUGCUGCACCCGGUACUUCUUC
rnacentral:lncRNA from 1 species